GGAUUAGGCAUGCAAGUCGAGCGAGAUUUUUUCUUGUAGCAAUACAGGGAAAAGUCUAGCGGCGAACGGGUGCUUAACACGUGGGCAACCUGCCGUGAAGUGGGGGAUAGCUCGCCGAAAGGCGAAUUAAUACCGCAUGUGAUUAGAGAGGACAUCCUUUCGAAAUUUGUGAAAGUCGGGGCAACCUGACGCUUCUGGGCCCGCGGCCUAUCAGCUAGUUGGUGAGGUAACGGCUCACCAAGGCUUUGACGGGUAGCUGGUCUGAGAGGACGACCAGCCACACUGGGACUGAGACACGGCCCAGACACCUACGGGUGGCAGCAGUCGAGAAUUUUUGACAAUGGGGGAAACCCUAAUCGAGCGACGCCGCGUGGAGGAUGAAGGUCUUCGGAUUGUAAACUCCUGUCAUUGGGGAACAAGGUGCAUACGUUAACUGCGUGUGUAUUGAUAGUACCCGAAGAGGAAGAGACGGCUAACUCUGUGCCAGCAGCCGCGGUAAUACAGAGGUCUCAAGCGUUGUUCGGAUUCAUUGGGCGUAAAGGGUGCGUAGGCGGCGCGGUAAGUCGGGUGUGAAAUCUCGGAGCUUAACUCCGAAACUGCAUUCGAUACUGCCGUGCUUGAGGACUGGAGAGGAGACUGGAAUUUACGGUGUAGCGGUGAAAUGCGUAGAUAUCGUAAGGAAGACCAGUGGCGAAGGCGGGUCUCUGGACAGUUCCUGACGCUGAGGCACGAAGGCCAGGGGAGCAAACGGGAUUAGAUACCCCGGUAGUCCUGGCAGUAAACGGUGCACGUUUGGUGUGGGAGGAUUCGACCCCUUCUGCGCCGGAGCUAACGCGUUAAACGUGCCGCCUGGGGAGUAUGGUCGCAAGGC
rnacentral:rRNA from 1 species